UGCUGAGGUAGCCAAGCGGACCACGGCGCCGGUCUUGAAAACCGGUAGCGCUACGCGCUACGGGAGUUCGAAUCUCUCCCUCAGCGU
rnacentral:tRNA from 1 species